rnacentral:tRNA from 1 species
CUUUAGUUAGCUAAUUUAAGUGUUAGAUUCUUAAUCUAAUUAUAUCAGUUAAUAGCUGGUACUAAGGG